rnacentral:rRNA from 1 species
CCUACGGGAGGCAGCAGUGAGGAAUAUUGGUCAAUGGCCGGAAGGCUGAACCAGCCAUGCCGCGUGAAGGUCAGUGCCCUAUGGGCGUUAAACUUCUUUUGUGCGGGAGCAAUAAUGGUCACGUGUGGCCAGACGAGAGUACCGUACGAAUAAGCAUCGGCUAACUCCGUGCCAGCAGCCGCGGUAAUACGGGGGAUGCAAGCGUUAUCCGGAUUUAUUGGGGUUUAAGGGUGCGUAGGCUGUGAGGUAAGUCAGCGGUGAAAUGACCCCGCUCAACGGGGUGAAGUGCCAUUGAUACUGGCUGGCUUGAGUGCGGAUGCCGUGGGAGGAAUGUGUGGUGUAGCGGUGAAAUGCAUAGAUAUCACACAGAACACCGAUUGCGAAGGCAUCUCACGAAUCCGCGAUUGACGCUGAUGCACGAAAGCGUGGGUAUCAAACAGGAUUAGAUACCCGAGUAGUC